rnacentral:rRNA from 1 species
GGCUUAGAAGCAGCCACUCAUUAAAAGAGUGCGUAAUAGCUCACUGGUCGAGUGACUCUGCGCGGAAAAUAUAACGGGGCUAAGUAUGCAACCGAAGCUUGGGAUUGUCUAAAGACAGUGGUAGGGGAGCGUCGUGUAUGGGGUGAAGUCGCAUCGGAAGGAGCGGUGGACUGUACACGAGUGAGAAUGCCGGAAUGAGUAGCGAGAAUUAUGUGGGAAUCAUAAUGGCCGAAAAUCUAAGGUUUCUUGGGGAAGGUUCGUCCGCCCAAGGUAAGCCGGGAGCUAAGGCGAGGCCGCAAGGCGUAGUCGAUGCACAUACGGUAGAAAUUCCGUAGCCACCGAACCUUAAACCGGAAGGACACUUUCAGAUAGCAGAACCCAGCCGUUGGUAGAGCUGGGCGAAAGGGACUGAAAUAUAGUAGGGAAGUCUGCGAUGCUGAGAGGCGAGAAAAGCUCCGGUGUAUGCUAAGGUGCCCGUACCGCAAACCGACACAGGUAGAUGAGGAGAGAAUCCUAAGGCCAACGGGAGAAGGGUUGUUAAGGAACUCGGCAAAUUGACCCCGUAACUUCGGAAGAAGGGGAGCCCCGAAAGGGGCCGCAGUGAAUAGGCCCAAGCAACUGUUUACCAAAAACACAGGUUUAUGCUAAAUCGAAAGAUGACGUAUAUGAGCUGACGCCUGCCCGGUGCCGGAAGGUUAAGAGGAGAUGUCAACCUUAAGGUGAAGCAUUGAAUUGAAGCCCCGGUAAACGGCGGCCGUAACUAUAACGGUCCUAAGGUAGCGAAAUUCCUUGUCAGGUAAGUUCUGACCCGCACGAAAGGUGUAACGAUCUGGGCACUGUCUCAACAACCCGCCCGGCGAAAUUGUAGUACCGGUGAAGAUGCCGGUUACCCGCGACUAGACGGAAAGACCCCAUGGAGCUUUACUGUAGCCUAAUAUUGGAUUUCGGUAUUUCACGUACAGGAUAGGUGGGAGACUGGGAAGCACAGGCGUCAGCUUGUGUGGAGUCGACCUUGGGAUACCACUCUUGGAGUGCUGGAAUUCUAACCUGCGGCUUUGAAGCAAGUCGGGGGACAUUGUUAGGUGGGCAGUUUGACUGGGGCGGUCGCCUCCUAAAGAGUAACGGAGGCGCUCAAAGGUUCGCUCUGCAUGGAUGGAAACCAUGCGUCAGAGUGUAAACGCAAAAGCGAGCCUAACUGCGAGAAUGACGGUUCGAGCAGUAACGAAAGUUGGAGUUAGUGAUCCGGCGGUAUGUGAAUGGAAAUGCCGUCGCUCAACGGAUAAAAGCUACCCUGGGGAUAACAGGCUGAUCUCCCCCAAGAGUCCACAUCGACGGGGAGGUU